AACGCUGGCGGCAGGCCUAACACAUGCAAGUCGAGCGCCCCGCAAGGGGAGCGGCAGACGGGAGAGUAACACGUGGGAACGUACCCUUCAGUUCGGAACAACCCAGGGAAACUUGGGCUAAUACCGAAUACGUCCGCAAGGAGAAAGAUUUAUCGCUGAAGGAUCGGCCCGCGUCUGAUUAGCUUGUUGGUGGGGUAACGGCCCACCAAGGCUACGAUCAGUAGCUGGUCUGAGAGGAUGAUCAGCCUCACUGGGACUGAGACACGGCCCAGACUCCUACGGGAGGCAGCAGUGGGGAAUAUUGGACAAUGGGCGCAAGCCUGAUCCAGCCAUGCCGCGUGGGUGAUGAAGGCCCUAGGGUUGUAAAGCCCUUUCGGCGGGGAAGAUAAUGACGGUACCCGCAGAAGAAGCCCCGGCUAACUUCGUGCCAGCAGCCGCGGUAAUACGAAGGGAGCUAGCGUUGCUCGGAAUCACUGGGCGUAAAGCGCACGUAGGCGGGUUGCUAAGUCGGAGGUGAAAUCCUGGAGCUCAACUCCAGAACUGCCUUCGAUACUGGCGAUCUUGA
rnacentral:rRNA from 1 species